rnacentral:lncRNA from 1 species
GCUGCAAUUGAUCUUCUUUUGUCUGAUUGUUCUAGAGUAUCUAAAAUAGAAUAUAUUAAUUCGAAUGUAUUUAAUCUCUUAUUGAUUUCACUGAAUAAAUCUUUCUCUUGUAGUGAGUUAUUUUGGGGUUUUAGAAUUUCAUGAGGCUUAAAUAACGGAACCGAUUCUUUGCUGGGCUUUGUCUCUAAUUUAUCUUCUCUUACACUUUCUUCUAUCCAGAUUAAUUGAUCUCCAAUAGAUUUUAAAUUUUGAUUUGUA